rnacentral:rRNA from 1 species
GACGAACGCUGGCGGCGUGCCUAAUACAUGCAAGUCGAACGCUAAAGGAGGAGCUUGCUUCUCUGGAUGAGUUGCGAACGGGUGAGUAACACGUAGGUAACCUGCCUUGUAGCGGGGGAUAACUAUUGGAAACGAGAGCUAAUACCGCAUAAUAGUAGAUGUUGCAUGACAUUUGCUGAAAAGGUGCAAUUGCAUCACUACCAGAUGGACCUGCGUUGUAUUAGCUUGGUGGUGGGGUAACGGCUCACCAAGGCGGCGAUCCAGCGCCGCAGGGAGAGGGGGAUUAGCCACACUGAGAGUGAGACAGGGCACAUAGGGCUUGGGGAGGGAGCAGUAGUGCAACGGCGGCAAUGGGUGGAAGACUGACCGAGCAGCGCCGCGGCAGGGAGCAAGGACGUCGGGUCGGAAAGCUCUGUUGUAAGAGAAGAAAGAGUGUGAGAGUGGAAAGUAGACUGUGUGACGGUAACUGAUCAGAAAGCAACGGCUAACUACGUG